rnacentral:siRNA from 1 species
CCAGAACUGUGGCCAUCUCCUC